rnacentral:tRNA from 1 species
GCGAGCGUAGCCCAACUGGAAGAGGCACUGCACUCAGACUGCAGGCAGUGUGGGUUCGACUCCCUCCGCUCGCACCA